GAAGAUGCUGCUGAUGAUGAGAACAAUUCAGGGUCUAGUUAUGAGAAGGAAGCGACUCCUCCUAAAUAUGAAUAUCCAAGUGGAUAUGGUUUGGAAACUGUGGAUAUAUGUGAAAGCUUGUUUGGUUAUUGGCCAUGUUUGGCAAAAAUGAAGAGAGAAAAUUGUUGUAAUGGAUCAAUUCAUAGAGAAAACCAUUGUCAGGAGAAUAUGUGGAAAGGGACUGCAGAUUAUCUGUUUGGAAAUCCAUAUCCAUAUGGUGGGAGAAGGGACGAUGAUUAUGGAGGGGAGUUUUUCUAUGGUUAUGAAAGGCAUUGAUUACAGUGAUGAAUCAUGGUGACAGAAAUGAAAUAAUUUUUUCAAAUAUGUAAUGAGAGAAUUUGAAAGUUGUAAAGGUUGUUUCUGAUGUACGAGUAAAUGUAGGAGUUUGAUUGAAAGAUGCGAAAAGAAUAAAUUUUCAUGUUUACAGGCUUUAUCCUAUGGUUCUAGUUUAAGAGCUAGUAGUUUGAUGAAUGAUUUUCUCUCCAUGAUGGUUUUUUUUAUAGAAUGAUAUUUAACAUUGAGUCAUCAAUUUGCAAUCUAAAAA
rnacentral:lncRNA from 1 species